rnacentral:tRNA from 1 species
AGCGCUAGUGGUCUAGGGGUAAGAUCCAACCCUCCCAAGGUUGGGGCCCGGGUUCGAGUCCCGGCUAGCGCA